GGGGGUGAACAGGGUUCGACGGGAGUGAUAGACGUAAUGACAGCAGGCCGGAGUUGGUCGAUGGCUCCGUAAAAAUCGACCAAACAAUAAACAACAAAAUAGGCAAAGCAGUAAACAAUAUAGGAGAUAAAGCUCCUUACAGCAAUUUAAAUUUUGCAACAUGAUAGCUGCUUAACGCGAUUGUGUUUUACUUCAGACAUCUGCUACGGGGAUAAAAUGACAAGAGCAGGUUAGUUUUAAGCGGGGGUCUGUGCCAUCAGCUUAAAAUGAAAUUAAAACGGCACUAGUUUAUAGCGCAAUCUUGCCUGGAGACGGUGUUAUGAACAAGACAAACUUUCCAGACUAAGCCUGUAGCAGUCAUACCGAAACAUUUUCGGACGCGGGUUCAAUUCCCGCCACCUCCACAA
rnacentral:tmRNA from 1 species